UUGUCAGACCUUCACUUUUUCAUUCUCAACCCUCAAUCCCUCCUGCUGGAAUUUCAAACCACUUCAUCAUCUUGGAAUUUUUUUUUCUUUUUUUCCAAGAAUGAGAGCGAGAGAGAGAGAAUAGCUAGCCACCAACUUCAGCGUAAGAGCCCCUUACAUACUCGAGUGCGGGUAUUAAUCUUUACUUCUCCAGGCUGAAGAAUCCAGGUUCUUUUAAAGAGUGCCCAUCAGUCCCGUUCUGCAGGCUUUUCAUCAUCUUUGUGGCUGUUAAGCCGUCAGCCCCAGCUGCUCACCGUAGACCGGUCUGCAGGCUCCUGGAGACCACCAGAUGCAGGUUUUAACCCAGAGAAGUUCACAGGAGGGGAGGUGCCCAGCUGCCGAAAAAGCUCUUGCUGGCCUGGAAGGGGGAGCCAGCAUUCAGAUGCAGCCAGGAGGUCCUGGUAGGCAAAGGUGUUUGCCUCAUGCCCUUGCCCGCAUGGUCCAGAGCCUGGCUCCUUGCGAAGCUCCGAGGUCAGCGCCUGGUCCCCAACGAUGAACCUGCUCCAGCCACCAGCUUUGCUCACUGUGUGACCAAGGGUAUGCCACUUACCCUCUCUGCGCUUUAGCUGCCCAGCCAAUGAAGAUAGUAUCUCCUGUCCUGAC